CUUUAAAACUGAUGUGUUCUAGUUUCCUUCUGUAAAAGGUGGCAUUCUCAGGUGGCUGUAGCAACUGGUAUCUUGGUCCCUGUUUUCAUGGAGUUCUUGUGCAAGUGAAUUAAGAGGUGACAAAUGAACAGGAGUGCAUGCUGUAUGCAAGGGCUGGAUGUGUGCUGUGGUUCUGCAGUCAUAGCAAUGAAUGCACUGUUGACUGACAAACAGGCAGCACUUCAAAUUGCAAUUUAUUAAUUGCCGUUGCUUUGGCACCUUUCUAAUUCUGUCGGCGCAUUGUUGACUGUUGCAGUGUCUGUGUGCCUCAAGGACGUAGCUUGCCCAGCUCAAUCUGCACUUCAGUUCUUGUACCAACUGAAAUGACUGCAGAACACUGAUAUUAUAACUCUGGGCUAUAAGACACUUGUGCAGAGCACUGAGAA
rnacentral:lncRNA from 1 species